rnacentral:rRNA from 1 species
UACGUAGGGCGCGAGCGUUGUCCGGAAUUAUUGGGCGUAAAGAGCUCGUAGGCGGCUUGUCACGUCGGGUGUGAAAGACCGGGGCUUAACUCCGGUUCUGCAUUCGAUACGGGCUAGCUAGAGUGUGGUAGGGGAGAUCGGAAUUCCUGGUGUAGCGGUGAAAUGCGCAGAUAUCAGGAGGAACACCGGUGGCGAAGGCGGAUCUCUGGGCCGAUACUGACGCUGAGGAGCGAAAGCGUGGGGGAGCGAACAGG